UUUCAAGUUCAAGUUCUAGUUUAUUUUUUCUCUUGGUUAACAAUAUUGGCUCCAAGAGAUGGCGUUUGAUGAUUUGAGCUUGAGUUUAUUUUUUCCCUUGUUUUACCAAAGAAAAAAUGAAAGUGCUCACGCCCACGAUCAUAUAAAUAGGUCUCGACACUUGCUAGGGAAAACCGUAUGAAAAUUGAGUCGUGUUACAGUCGUGAAAAAUCAUCAUGGAAGGUUAAUAAAGUACACGAUCUUACGAAGGUAGAAGAAAUGAAAAGAGUGUCCCUAUCUCUGUUUGAGAUAUUCAUAGCGUGUCAAGGGUGCGCAGAACGAGAACCUUCUUGUCUUCCAUGUUGGUUUUUCACGAGUUAGUUACGACUCAAUUUUCGAAUGAUUUUUCCUAAGCUUCGGCAAAGAGGAAAUCUCCUCUUUGGCUUUGUACAGGUGCUACACCAAGCGGUCAAAUGCUGGAAGAUGUUCCACGCUAUAUAUACAAGAACCUAUUUACAUAGUUCCACCGCAAACGAGAUAUAAUCGCCUGUGUGUCCACUCUACAGAAUCUAUUUCAUUGUACGCUUCUACGGAAAAGUUCAUACUUUUCUAUCCGAUAAAAACACUUAUUAGAAUAACAAAAUCGCACAAUAAUUACACUAAGUUACCUCAGAAUGAGAACUCAAUUGUUUAUUAAAUUUAUUUUAGAAAAAUUAAUAAAUAUAUUUUUAUAUCUUUA